rnacentral:tRNA from 1 species
UGUAGCUCGGGGUAGAGCACAUGCUUAGCAAGCGUGAGGCCCUGGGUUCAGUUCUCAGCA